UGGCGGACGGGUGAGUAAUGUCUGGGAAACUGCCUGAUGGAGGGGGAUAACUACUGGAAACGGUAGCUAAUACCGCAUAACGUCGCAAGACCAAAGAGGGGGACCUUCGGGCCUCUUGCCAUCGGAUGUGCCCAGAUGGGAUUAGCUAGUAGGUGGGGUAAGGCUCACCUAGGCGACGAUCCCUAGCUGGUCUGAGAGGAUGACCAGCCACACUGGAACUGAGACACGGUCCAGACUCCUACGGGAGGCAGCAUG
rnacentral:rRNA from 1 species